rnacentral:snRNA from 1 species
GUACUCACUUCAGCAGCACAUAUACUAAAAUUGGAACGAUACAGAGAAAAUUAGCAUGGCCGCUUAGCAAGGAUGACAUGCAAAUUCGUGAAGCAUUCCAUGUGUUU